rnacentral:rRNA from 1 species
GACGAACGCUGGCGGCGUGCUUAACACAUGCAAGUCGAACGGAAAGGCCCUGCUUUUGUGGGGUGCUCGAGUGGCGAACGGGUGAGUAACACGUGAGUAACCUGCCCUUGACUUUGGGAUAACUUCAGGAAACUGGGGCUAAUACCGGAUAGGAGCUCCUGCUGCAUGGUGGGGGUUGGAAAGUUUCGGCGGUUGGGGAUGGACUCGCGGCUUAUCAGCUUGUUGGUGGGGUAGUGGCUUACCAAGGCUUUGACGGGUAGCCGGCCUGAGAGGGUGACCGGCCACAUUGGGACUGAGAUACGGCCCAGGCUCCUACGGGAGGCAGCAGUGGGGAAUAUUGCACAAUGGGCGGAAGCCUGAUGCAGCAACGCCGCGUGCGGGAUGAAGGCCUUCGGGUUGUAAACCGCUUUCGCCUGUGACGAAGCGUGAGUGACGGUAAUGGGUAAAGAAGCACCGGCUAACUACGUG